ensembl:lncRNA
ACGGAGGGGGUCAGUCGUUGGGAUGCGCAUGCGCAGACAGAGUGUGCGAGCGGCGGGCCUUGACCUUUUGGGGGAAAAAAACUCACGGACGGUGACAGCGAAACGGAUAACAGUCUUCAGUACCUGCUGGACUUUGAAGCUGUGGAUUCUGGGACUGUUAGAAAAGCUCCAACAAAAUGAGGAAGAGGAGAAACACAAUUAGGUUGAAUUACAAUUGGAUGGAAGGCGAGGACAAGGAGAAGGAAGCUUAGGAUGAGGAGGAAGAGAAGCAGCAGGAGCAUCUUUAGGGAUCCCUAUGAUGUCAUUGAGAGGCGGCGGCGAGAGGGGAGACCUCUGCUCAUCCAGCUGGAGAGCCUGACCAGGAGGAGUCGAACAUUAACUCAGCUCUUUCAGGGCACCCUGCAGACUCGGCUGUUGGCAUCGACGAGGGAUGACGUGAACGCCAAACUGGAGUCCAUCACAGGUCAACUGCAGCUCCUUGUCUCAGAGUGGGAGGGGUUUGAAGCACAAAGGGAGGAACUUGUCGUUUGGUUGGCUGAUAUGGAUGUGAGGUUGACCAGCUGACAGGAAACACCAGUGAAAAACUGAAACAACUGCAGGGCAGAGCGAAACCGGAGGGUUUACUGAGCUGUGGCUCCAUGUAAAUGCUGAGCAUCCACUCGACGGCGGUCAGGUUUUUAUAUGGGACGAAUCCAAAGACCAGGUCAGCGAUUCCAGAACCCAGAGUGUUCCAGUGUUCACUGGAUGGCGAGCCAACCCAAGAUCCUAGGAGGCGAUAUACAUAUACACGCACGAUCAUUUGCACAUUGAUGGACUACAAUCCUCUACUGUACAAGUAGUACGGUAGGACAGACAAUCACACACACACACUCCUUGUCAGACGAAUUCUAUGGGCCCCACCGGUACCAUUUGGACUUAAAAAAGACUAAUUCUUUUACUUGUGCACAAUUUUAUUUAAUUCUAUUUUUUUUUUGCUACUUUGGGGGAAAUUUUUAUACUUGACAUUCUGUUAAAACCUGUUGUAAUACUGUGUUGUUUACAAAUUUCUUUUACAAGGCUUAACAUCACUAAAGUACUUUUAAAGCCACAUAACUGUGUUUGUCUGGUUUCUCUGCCAUUCGUGUACCAGAGCUCUAAGAGUCGUUCUCAGUCUUCUGACACUAG